rnacentral:tRNA from 2 species
GGAGGGAUCGCAUAGCCUGGCCUAGUGCGCAGCACUGGAAAUGCUGUACGGCGGUAACGUCGUCGUGGGUUCGAAUCCCACUCCCUCCGCCA